AUGACUGUCUGUGGAAGAGGGUUGGUUGUAGGAGGUCUGCACAGUCAGUGCAAAGGCCCUGAGGUGGGAACUGUAAGAGGCCAGUGUGGCAGGGUCCAGGGGCCCUGCAAGGUCUCUGGACUCUCUUCCCUUGUGAUGGGGAAGCCACUGCUGGGAAAGCCGCCAGUCAGCUGCCACGUGCCGGGUACAUCUCAGGGAGGCACGCGGGUUUGGUGCCGCCCCCGCGGCCCACGCCUGAGCAGUUCCCAGGACCAUACACGCCUGGCAGCCAGGGGCAAGGACCCUGGGGAUCCCCUGGGGAGGUGGUGGUGUGCCCCUCCCAGUGACCCUCGAGGGCAGGGGGAGGGAAGGGAGGUCACCUUCCUCCGCCUCCGCCAGCGCCUUCUGCAGCUGCCUCACGCGGCUCUUGGCCUGGGCACACUCGCUGUCCGCCUCAUUCAGCCGGCUGCUCAGGCUCGCGGCCUGGAAGUGCCAGUCGUCCUGGGCGGAAGGACCCAGGAGCUCCCGGGGCGUGUCCACUGCCUUACCCGUUCCCUCUGGGCAUCCCGCAGCUUCUGCUCGAAGUCCCGCAGGGCGUCUCGCACGGAGACCACGUCCACCACCGGGCUGUGGACCCCAGGUGUAGACCCUGCUCACGGCCUGACCCGUGCCCCUGCGCCCCUGGGAUGGUACCUGCACCCACACGAGGUGCCCUCUCCAUACCUGUGA
rnacentral:lncRNA from 1 species